AUUGAACGCUGGCGGCAUGCUUUACACAUGCAAGUCGGACGAGUGGCGAACGGGUGAGUAACGCAUCGGAACGUACCGAGUAAUGGGGGAUAACUGUCCGAAAGGACAGCUAAUACCGCAUCUUAUUCGUACGGCCGAUGUCUGUUUAGCUGGUUGGCUGGGUAAAGGCCCACCAAGGCGACGAUCGGUAGCGGGUGUGAGAGGUUGAUCAGCCACAAUGGGACUGUGACACGGCCCAGACUCCUACGGGAGGCAGCAGUGGGGAAUUUUUGACAAUGGGCGCAAGCCUGAUCCAGCCAUGCCGCGUGUCUGAAGAAGGCGUUCGGGUUGUAAAGGACUUUUGUCAGGGAAGCGGUACCUUAAGAAUAAGCACCGGCUAACUACGUGCCAGCAGCCGCGGUAAUAC
rnacentral:rRNA from 1 species